rnacentral:lncRNA from 1 species
AGGAACAGAGCCAAAAACAGAAUCAUCAUCUUCUUCUUCUUCGUCGGUUCCUUCCACCGUAACCCACUCAAAGUCUUCAUAAGCGCCGUAACUGUUAAACGAAAAAGCGCCACCGCUCCAUGAUCUGGAGGUUGCAGCCACCGGAAAACUCAAUAGCGACCCUGAUGCCGUGAUCCUUAGAUUGUUUGACCCAGAAGAAGAUCCGAAUUUAUUGGCAUACCCUCCACCAAGCGAGACAGAGGCGUUCCCAGCUGGAGUCGACGUUGAUGAAGCAAAGGGAUCUUUAACUCCGCCCUUGACUCCGCCGGUCCUCUUCAUCGCACGUCCGGCGGCGCGUAGCAUCCCUCUUCCGGCGGCGCCUAACACCCCUCUGCCGGCGGCGCGUAGCAUCCCGCUGCCGGCUGCGCGUAGCAUCCCUCUUCCUCUAUCUAACAUGAGACAGUUGAACUUGCGUUAUUCCGACAGGUUUCGUAAGUUUUACGUUAACUCGGUGAACAGUUUUUUUUCUUUUGGUCUACCGGUUCGGAUCAAUUAAACAGUUGUUGUUGUAAUGAAUGGCUCUGUUUUGAGUUUGCUUGUGUCUUAGGUUUCUUCGUACAGUUUGAUGAUUUCCAGGAGACAGAUCAGGUUAUAUAUACACAAUGUUCUUUAAGGAUUUUCUCAGAAUAUUUUGACUUUCCUUGAUUUUCUUUGCUUUGUUUUGCUUGAUCCUUCUUCUCCACGACAACGCUUACCAUUUCUCUGUUUUCUAUUGCAUUCAAUUCAAUUAAUACUCAUAAAAGUAGUUUCCCAUAGUAUAAUUGCAUUAACAGAAAAAAAUUAACACAGAAUUAAAAUUAAUAUUGUUUGAAAUCUGAAGUUUUAUGCAUAAAAGUUGGGAAUUUGAAUAUUGUACUCAACAGCAGGAAAACACGAAAACCAAUUUGAAAUCCAGAAGACAUUUCGUAAGGGAAAGGGAAAACCAACAUUGAAGACUUUUUCUCUGCUUUUUACUCGAGGUAACUCUCUAUAAUGCUUGUUCUCUACGUCUUUGGUUACUUGCUAGUGAAUUAAUUGGUUAGAAUAUGAAUGCUAGGGAACAAUCCGGUUUACAGUUUUGGUUUAUCAAUCCGGAAACAGCACAUUGAACCGCAUUGUUUUUGUAGUCACGGUUCAGAACAUACCAUCUCUUAGUGCGACGAGCCAUGUGGUCAUACAGUUUGGUUGUUACUCAAAAAGGAAAAAGAAGCUAGGCAGACCAAACAUAAGUUGGACGAACAAGACUUCUCGAUAUAGACGUCACAACUUACAAACAAGGCAAAGAAAGUACAGCAAAAGGUUUACAAUUUACCACAAAGAGAAUAACACAACAAAACAUGGUACCAUUUGACAAGAGAAACACACUUGCACAUUAUUUAUAACAAAAAGAAAAAAAAACUGAUGAUAUAUGCUUCCCCUUUUAUUACCCACCCUGAUCAAAUUCUAAACACCUUAUUCUAACUUUGAAACUAUUUAAGAGUUCUAUCGCGAGCUUUAUUAUCUUCUUCAACACUUCCGUGGCCUUAACCACGGUGCUGUCAAAUACCCAUUUUAUGAAAUCUGUUGGUGUGUUAUUCUUCCGUGGAGUGUCAUCUGAGCUCUCAUCACCUGAACUCUCAUCAUCUGAACUCUCCUCGUCUGUUAAUAUAGAGAAAGACAGAACAAGCCAAUGAGAACUUUCUCAAACAAAAGGCUUUAAAUUAAUACUAAUACCUUGAUUAAUGCCAUUGUAGUACAAAUCCUUAAUCUCUUGCACCACCUCGUUGUUCCUCACUGCCUUCCACACUGCUUUGUCAGAUGACAAUGAUAACACCAUUCUCUGCACAAAACGUUAUUCAGGUACACAUUGUGUUUCUAUUUAGGGUUUAUGAAUACUUAACAAAAUAAGACACAGAAACUUGAGCUUAGUGAAUCAAGAAAACAUAAUAAAAAAAAAGAUCACCUGGACGGAUGGCUCGGUUCGUAGUAGGUCAAAAGCAUUGUAAACGUGAUCAUAAGCAUGAGGCUGUAAGAUUCUUGAAUGACAUAGUUCCAUUGAAGGCUCCACCCAGUCCAACUCCGUCCCAAACGAAGGAACUUGAUGAACCAUUCCUGUGGGCAUGGGACUCUGGUUUCCACCACCAUCGAAUACCCUUUAAAACAAGAAUCAACAGUUACGCAUAUUCCCAUAAGCAAGAAAGCAGGUUUUGAAGAUUAAUAAUAAUAAACAAAGACAAUGAUGCAGUUGAACUAGCAAACAACUUUUCAAAGUAGUUUAAGUUCAGGUACUAGGAAUGAUUGGUUAAAUUGAUACUAAUUCCGGAAACAAACAAAACGAAAUAGACUUGGAUAGAGCUUCCAUCUUAUUUUAAUUCAUCAAAUCAAAGACAAUUCAAUCACACUCAGAGGAAAGAAAUAGGGGAAAAAAAAGAAGUUAACUUUGAAAAUAAUCCAUCAAAGCCAAGACAAUUCUCGUGAGUAUUAAAAUAUCUAUCCACCACUUAAAGCUCAUCCACAUGUCUGAGAUUUUUUUUUUUUUCUUUUUGAACACAAUUUUAUGAGAUUAAUUGUCAAUUCUAAUCAUUGAUACAAGUUUCAAAACUCAAAUAGUCUCAUCCAUAUAACCAAACACAUUACUUUCAAGUGUGUAGAAAAAUUAAGAGACGGAAGAGAAAAAAAAUGAUUACUGCUUGAGAGCAGAAACAGCAUCUUCAACUUCAUCAACAGAAGGAACAGAGCCAAAAACAGAAUCAUCAUCUUCUUCUUCUUCGUCGGUUCCUUCCACCGUAACCCACUCAAAGUCUUCAUAAGCGCCGUAACUGUUAAACGAAAAAGCGCCACCGCUCCAUGAUCUGGAGGUUGCAGCCACCGGAAAACUCAAUAGCGACCCUGAUGCCGUGAUCCUUAGAUUGUUUGACCCAGAAGAAGAUCCGAAUUUAUUGGCAUACCCUCCACCAAGCGAGACAGAGGCGUUCCCAGCUG